GUGACCGUUGUAAAGUGACUAAAACGUGGAGUAGAACGCUGAUAGAGGACUUGCUCUUCUUGGAGAGUUGCGCCGGGUGAGAACGCGUGGUACCUGCCUUGUGCGGGGGAUACUAUUGGAACGUAGCAAUACCGCAUAACAUGGGGACCAUUCAUUCUUUGAAGGGCACUGCUCCCUACAGAGACUGCGUGUAUAGCUAGUAGGGAGUAACGGUCCCUAGGCGAGUACAAGCGCCUGAGAGGUGACGGCCACCUGGGACUGGACACGGCCCAACUCCUACGGGAGGAGAGAGGGAUCUUCGCAAUGGGGAACCUGACCGAGCACGCGCGGGUGAGAAGUUUCGGAUCGUUAAGCUCUGUUGUAGUCAGACGAGGUGAGAGGGAAAGUCACAUUGUGACGUAGCUACAGAAGGGAGGCUAACACGGCUAGCCCCGGGUAAUACGUGGUCGGAGCGUGCCGUUUUAUUGUCGUGGGGGAUGCAGGGGGUGAAAGUCUGGGUAAAGGUGUGGCCACCAUAGCCGUUUGGAAUUUUAAAUUGGGGCAGAGGGGGGAGGAUUCGGGUAUGUGUUAAUGAUUGAUUGUGGUGAAGGAGGGACGGUUGAAUUGUUUAGAUAAUAGAGGCAGAAGUAGUAGAAGUGGUGGCCGAUUCAGAAAAAGAGACUCAUUUUGUAUUGAUAGGGAGGCCGUGUGGGGGCCACUGCUCGUUUGUUUUGGUAUGUUAAGUAAGAAGAGGAAGUGAGAUGGAGGGAGGGGUUUUUGUUCUUUGAAUAGAGGGGGGGCGAAGCGUUAUAGAUAUUUUCUGCUUUUU
rnacentral:rRNA from 1 species